CCUACAGGAGGCUGCAGUGGGGAAUAUUGGACAAUGGGGGCAACCCUGAUCCAGCCAUGCCGCGUGUGUGAAGAAGGCCCUCGGGUUGUAAAGCACUUUCAGUGAGGAAGAACGCCUGGUGGUUAAUACCCAUCAGGAAAGACAUCACUCACAGAAGAAGCACCGGCUAACUCCGUGCCAGCAGCCGCGGUAAUACGGAGGGGGCGAGCGUUAAUCGGAAUUACUGGGCGUAAAGCGCGCGUAGGUGGCUUGAUAAGCCGGUUGUGAAAGCCCCGGGCUCAACCUGGGAACGGCAUCCGGAACUGUCAAGCUAGAGUGCAGGAGAGGAAGGUAGAAGUCCCGGUGUAGCGGUGAAAUGCGUAGAGAUCGGGAGGAAUACCAGUGGCGAAGGCGGCCUUCUGGACUGACACUGACACUGAGGUGCGAAAGCGUGGGUAGCAAACAGGAUUAGAUACCCUUGUAGUC
rnacentral:rRNA from 1 species